GACGAACGCUGGCGGCGUGCUUAACACAUGCAAGUCGAACGGAAAGGCCCUGCUUUUGUGGGGUGCUCGAGUGGCGAACGGGUGAGUAACACGUGAGUAACCUGCCCUUGACUUUGGGAUAACUUCAGGAAACUGGGGCUAAUACCGGAUAGGAGCUCCUGCUGCAUGGUGGGGGUUGGAAAGUUUCGGCGGUUGGGGAUGGACUCGGGGCUUAUCAGCUUGUUGGUGGGGUAGUGGCUUACCAAGCCUUUGACGGGUAGCCGGCAUGAGAGGGUGACCGGCCACAUUGGGACUGAGGUACGGACCAGAGUGCUACGGGAGGCAGCAGUGGGGAAUAUUGCACAAUGGGCGGAAGCCUGAUGCAGCAACGCCGCGUGCGGGAUGACGGCCUUCGGGUUGUAAACCGCUUUCGCCUGUGACGAAGCGUGAGUGACGGUAAUGGGUAAAGAAGCACCGGCUAACUACGUG
rnacentral:rRNA from 1 species